rnacentral:rRNA from 1 species
GACGAACGCUGGCGGCGUGCUUAACACAUGCAAGUCGAACGGAAAGGCCCUGCUUUUGUGGGGUGCUCGAGUGGCGAACGGGUGAGUAACACGUGAGUAACCUGCCCUUGACUUUGGGAUAACUUCAGGAAACUGGGGCUAAUACCGGAUAGGAGCUCCUGCUGCAUGGUGGGGGUUGGAAAGUUUCGGCGGUUGGGGAUGGACUCGCGGCUUAUCAGCUUGUUGGUGGGGUAGUGGCUUACCAAGGCUUUGACGGGUAGCCGGCCUGAGAGGGUGACCGGCCACGUUGGGACUGAGAUACGGCCCAGACUCCUACGGGAGGCAGCAGUGGGGAAUAUUGCACAAUGGGCGGAAGCCUGGUGCAGCAACGCCGCGUGCGGGAUGACGGCCUUCGGGUUGUAAACCGCUUUCGCCUGUGACGAAGCGUGAGUGACGGUAAUGGGUAAAGAAGCACCGGCUAACUACGUG